CACCGCCUCACAGACACUGCCGAAAAAGUCCACCCCAGGAAUGCUGCGAGCCUCGCAGCAGCUCCCCUGGGCCUGUCACCACAAGGCUGUUGCAAGGAUUAGAGAGAAUACCUGUAAAGAAUAUGGAUGCUCAGAAGUGCUACGGAUGCUACUCCUACUCGAGAUUAUUCCCCCAGGUCCCUGACUGGACCUUCCCUGCCACUGCUGACCCCAGUCCCAGGCUGGCUGCCAGCCUGCUGAACCUCCAACCACAGUGCCAGGAGGCAGUGCCAGGAGAGGCAAGUGGCCAUGUCAAAGAACCCCACGCGGCAAGGACUGCAGGGGACCCCUAGUUGCUCAGAGCGGUUUCUGGCCAAUACCAAGCAAGAAACUGAAGCUCAGUCCAACAACUGCAAGGAAUUGACUUCUGCCAACAACCCAAGUCAUCCUGAAAGGGAUCCUUCUCCAGUCGAACCUCCAAUGAGACCAUAGCGUUGGCCAACCCCUAAUGGCAGCC